rnacentral:rRNA from 1 species
AUGACUAGCGGGGCCGAUACUCUUUGGUUUUCUAUUCUCAAGGCCAAAUACUUCCCUCAUUCUAGCCCCUUGUUUGUUACUGCCAGACGCGAAUCUCAAUUCUGGAAGAACCUUGUCAAAGUCAGACCUAUAUUCCUGGAUCAUGUUAAAUUUAUCGUGGGUAAUGGGACUUCGGUUCGCUUCUGGAGGGACUGGUGGUGUGGGGAUGCCCCUCUGGCUGUUAGUUUCCCGGUUUUGUUUUCGUAUUGUCCUAAGCCGGACAUCUCCAUCACGGAGGUGGCGGCGAAUAAUUGGGAUCUAGCUUUUCGUCGUUCCCUGUCUCCUGAAGAGUUGGAAGACUGGCAAAGUCUCUCUGCCCUCUUCCCUGUGCUCUCGGAGUCGCCGGAUUCUAUUGUUUGGCCCCAUUCGGCUUCUGGCAGGUUUUCGGUUAAGUCGUUUUAUUCUAGGCUUAUCGGUGGUUCCCCCUCGAAUAGAUUUACUUGCGUCUGGAAGUCCAAAGUGCCGCCUAAGAUUAAGAUUUUCCUUUGGCAAGCUUUUAGAGGCCGCCUUCCGGCGGCUGACCAGAUUCACAAGCGCAAUGGGCCGGGCUCGGAGUUCUGUCACCUUUGCAGUGCUUUGGAAAACACGGAACACAUCUUUUUUCACUGCGUGUUGGCUAAGUUGGUUUGGAGCUGUGUCAGGUCUUGGCUCCAGGUUUCUUGGAACCCCUCUUCCUUCUCCAAGCUUAGAAACCUAGCCAAAGUUUUGGUUGGGGUCACCAAGAGGGUGUUCUGGGUCAGCUUGGGUGCCUUAUGCUGGGCUUUAUGGACCAUUAGGAACAAAUUUACUAUUGAGCAUACCUUCCCAUCUAAGCCUGCUGACGUUUUUUUCAAAUCAUGUAUACUAUUGCAGUAA